rnacentral:rRNA from 1 species
GAUGAACGCUGGCGGCGUGCUUAACACAUGCAAGUCGAACGAAGCAUUCUAACGGAACAUUUUCGGAUGGGAAGUUAAAAUGACUGAGUGGCGGACGGGUGAGUAACGCGUGGAUAACCUACCAUAUACAGGGGGACAACAGUUGGAAACGACUGCUAAUACCGCAUAAGCGCACAGUGCCGCAUGGCACGGUGUGAAAAACUCCGGUGGUAUAUGAUGGAUCCGCGUCUGAUUAGCUAGUUGGUGAGGUAAUGGCCCACCAAGGCAACGAUCAGUAGCCGACCUGAGGGGGUGACCGGCCACAUUGGGACUGAGACACGGGCCAUACUCCUACGGGAGGCAGCAGUGGGGAAUAUUGCACAAUGGGCGAAAGCCUGAUGCAGCGACGCCGCGUGAGCGAAGAAGUAUUUCGGUAUGUAAAGCUCUAUCAGCAGGGAAGAAAAUGACGGUACCUGACUAAGAAGCCCCGGCUAACUACGUGCCAGCCGCCGCCGUAA